UACGGAGGGGGCGAGCGUUGUUCGGAAUCAUUGGGCGUAAAGGACGCGUAGGCGGCCGAUCAAGUCGGAGGUGAAAUCCCUCGGCUCAACUGAGGAAUUGCCUUCGAUACUGUUCGGCUUGAGUCCUGGAGAGGGUAGCGGAAUUCCCGGUGUAGCGGUGAAAUGCGUAGAGACCGGGAAGAACACCAGUGGCGAAGGCGGCUACCUGGACAGGUACUGACGCUGAAGCGCGAAAGCUAGGGGAGCAAACAGG
rnacentral:rRNA from 1 species